rnacentral:rRNA from 1 species
GGCGGCGUGCCUAAUACAUGCAAGUCGUACGCUUCUUUUUCCACCGGAGCUUGCUCCACCGGAAAAAGAAGAGUGGCGAACGGGUGAGUAACACGUGGGUAACCUGCCCAUCAGAAGGGGAUAACACUUGGAAACAGGUGCUAAUACCGUAUAACAAUCGAAACCGCAUGGUUUUGAUUUGAAAGGCGCUUUCGGGUGUCGCUGAUGGAUGGACCCGCGGUGCAUUAGCUAGUUGGUGAGGUAACGGCUCACCAAGGCCACGAUGCAUAGCCGACCUGAGAGGGUGAUCGGCCACAUUGGGACUGAGACACGGCCCAAACUCCUACGGGAGGCAGCAGUAGGGAAUCUUCGGCAAUGGACGAAAGUCUGACCGAGCAACGCCGCGUGAGUGAAGAAGGUUUUCGGAUCGUAAAACUCUGUUGUUAGAGAAGAACAAGGAUGAGAGUAACUGUUCAUCCCUUGACGGUAUCUAACCAGAAAGCCACGGCUAACUACGUGCCAGCAGCCGCGGUAAUACGUAGGUGGCAAGCGUUGUCCGGAUUUAUUGGGCGUAAAGCGAGCGCAGGCGGUUUCUUAAGUCUGAUGUGAAAGCCCCCGGCUCAACCGGGGAGGGUCAUUGGAAAMWGGGAGACUUGAGUGCAGARGGAGGGGGAG